rnacentral:rRNA from 1 species
GCUAGCUACAGGCUUAACACAUGCAAGUCGAGGGGCAGCAUGGUCUUAGCUUGCUAAGGCCGAUGGCGACCGGCGCACGGGUGAGUAACGCGUAUCCAACCUGCCUUACACUCUUGGACAGCCUUCUGAAAGGGAGAUUAAUACAAGAUGUUAUCAUGAGUAAGCAUUUUCGCAUGAUUAAAGGUUUACCGGUGUAAGAUGGGGAUGCGUUCCAUUAGAUAGUAGGCGGGGUAACGGCCCACCUAGUCUUCGAUGGAUAGGGGUUCUGAGAGGAAGGUCCCCCACAUUGGAACUGAGACACGGUCCAAACUCCUACGGGAGGCAGCAGUGAGGAAUAUUGGUCAAUGGACGAGAGUCUGAACCAGCCAAGUAGCGUGAAGGAUGAAGGUUCUAUGGAUUGUAAACUUCUUUUAUACGGGAAUAAACGGAUCCACGUGUGGAUUUUUGCAUGUACCGUAUGAAUAAGGAUCGGCUAACUCCGUGCCAGCAGCCGCGGUAAUACGGAGGAUCCGAGCGUUAUCCGGAUUUAUUGGGUUUAAAGGGAGCGUAGAUGGGUUGUUAAGUCAGUUGUGAAAGUUUGCGGCUCAACCGUAAAAUUGCAAUUGAUACUGGCAGUCUUGAGUACAGUUGAGGUAGGCGGAAUUCGUGGUGUAGCGGUGAAAUGCUUAGAUAUCACGAAGAACUCCGAUUGCGAAGGCAGCUUACUAACCUGUAACUGACAUUGAUGCUCGAAAGUGUGGGUAUCAAACAGGAUUAGAUACCCUGGUAGUCCACACGGUAAACGAUGAAUACUCGCUGUAGGCGAUAUACAGUCUGCGGCCAAGCGAAAGCAUUAAGUAUUCCACCUGGGGAGUACGCCGGCAACGGUGAAACUCAAAGGAAUUGACGGGGGCCCGCACAAGCGGAGGAACAUGUGGUUUAAUUCGAUGAUACGCGAGGAACCUUACCCGGGCUUAAAUUGCAACCGAAUAUGGCGGAAACGCUAUAGCUAGCAAUAGCGGUUGUGAAGGUGCUGCAUGGUUGUCGUCAGCUCGUGCCGUGAGGUGUCGGCUUAAGUGCCAUAACGAGCGCAACCCUUGCCGAUAGUUACUAACAGGUCAUGCUGAGGACUCUGUCGGGACUGCCAUCGUAAGAUGUGAGGAAGGUGGGGAUGACGUCAAAUCAGCACGGCCCUUACGUCCGGGGCUACACACGUGUUACAAUGGGGGGUACAGAGGGCUGCUACCACGCAAGUGGAUGCCAAUCCCAAAAACCUCUCUCAGUUCGGAUUGAAGUCUGCAACCCGACUUCAUGAAGCUGGAUUCGCUAGUAAUCGCGCAUCAGCCACGGCGCGGUGAAUACGUUCCCGGGCCUUGUACACACCGCCCGUCAAGCCAUGGGAGCCGGGGGUACCUGAAGUGCGUAACCGCAAGGAGCGCCCUAGGGUAAAACUGGUGACUGGGG